rnacentral:rRNA from 1 species
GUAUGCAAUCUACCUUGUACAGGGAGAUAGCCCGGAGAAAUCCGGAUUAAUAUCCCAUAGUAUAAUUGAAUGGCAUCAUUUAAUUAUUAAAGAUUUAUCGGUACAAGAUGAGCAUGCGUCCCAUUAGCUAGUUGGUAUGGUAACGGCAUACCAAGGCAAUGAUGGGUAGGGGUCCUGAGAGGGAGAUCCCCCACACUGGUACUGAGACACGGACCAGACUCCUACGGGAGGCAGCAGUGAGGAAUAUUGGUCAAUGGAGGCAACUCUGAACCAGCCAUGCCGCGUGCAGGAUGACGGUCCUAUGGAUUGUAAACUGCUUUUAUACAGGAAGAAACCCUACUACGUGUAGUAGACUGACGGUACUGUAGAAUAAGGAUC